rnacentral:lncRNA from 1 species
UCGCAAAUAUUGAACUUCAGAGCACCCGGGAAUUUUUGCAAACACACACACACACACACACACACACACACACGGGCAGAAGUAGAAAGCUGGGGAAGAUGUGGUUGUGCAGGAGCACAUGUGAAAAGGAGCUUAGCAGCCCAGAUGCCAGGGGGACCGGCGUGAGUCAGCUGGAGGAUGUGGGCGCCAACAACCUCGGGCAGGCCUGGACCAAGCAGAGCAUCCAGAAAAAGAAGGGUGCGGACUGGCUCUGCCUUAGCAGUGGUCAGACCACCCUGGAGGGCUGGCUCUGUCUGAAGGCCCAUCAUGUGACAGGAAAGGGUGUAUUCCGAGGACAGCUACAAAGAAGCUGGGAGGAGGAGAAGCACUGAGGAGUUAGCAAAGCCUGGUGUGAUAGCACACCCUUGGGAGACUGAGGCAGGAAGAUCAAUAGUUCGAGGCUAGCCUGAGGCUACGCGGUGAGACCCUAUCUCAAUAUAAACAGUGAAAAAAGAGGGCUGGGAACAUAGCUCAGUGGGAAGGUGCUCACCUAGCAUGUGCAAGGCCCCAGCUUCAAACCUCAGUAUUGGAAGAAAAGAAAAAGUUGGAGAAAAGAAAGAGAGCAUGGGCCGGGCGUUGGUGGCGCCCACCUUUAAUCCCAGCACUCGGGAGGCAGAGGCAGGAGGAUCUCUGUGAGUUCGAGGCCAGCCUGGUCUCCAGAGCGAGUGCCAGGAUAGGCUCCAAAGCUACACAGAGAAACCCCGUCUUGAAAAACCAAAAAAAAAAAAAAAAAAAAAAAAAAAAAAGAAAGAAAAAGAAAGAGAGCAUGGCCUACAGAAGGGCUUGAGUCAGGGUGGGCUUGUGCCUAGAAGUCCUCUGCCUCAUGUCACCCCGGUGAAGUCUUAUCUGUCCUUUGUAGCCUCCCCCUCUUCUAGAAGCCUUCCUUCACCUCUCUGCAGAACCAACCCCACUUCCCCAGGAACCCCUCCUCCUGGCAUCCUGGAAUCAGCCCCUGCAGGACAGCACCUGGGGCAAGGAGCCAUGUUUUAAGGGUGUAUCUGAGUAGGCAUCCCUGUUUGAUCAUCCCUAGUGCUUGCUCAGGUGAUUGUUCUUCAGCAGUAUCUGAUGAGCGGAAUGAGUUGCAUGAAAACUGUCAUGAUUUUGACCACGGGAAGACACUGUUCUUUCCAUGUGGCUUUGGAAAGACGGAAGUGGAAGAGAGGGCGGAUAUGACAAGACAGCGGACUUCAGCUAAAAUCAGGAAGUGUUUAUAACAAUAGUGACGACAGCUUCAUUAUGUCUUACUCGUGCAAUGCUACAUGAUAAGCAACUCCAAACAGCCCAGAGCAGUAGCAAGAAGCCCUUCAUUAAUUAUCUCACACAGCUCAUGCCAGCCAGGAACUCAGGAGUGGUGAGGAGAUUGGUUCCGGCUUGGCAUCUCUCAUGGGUUGCAGAUGCCAGCCAGGGCUGCGGUUAUCUGAAGAUGACAUUCUGGCAUACUCACGUGGUUGCUGAAGUCCUCAUUCAGAUUCACACACGAUCGACAACCUGAUUCUUCUCUUUCAUCAUCCACUUCCUAGUCUUCUGCUCCCAGUUCACUUUGAUCAGAGGCUACUGUCUCAACAUAGAUAAAGAGAAUCAUUUUGGAAGGACCUCAGAAAAAGGAGCUGCUGGGGUCCUCCUUUGUCUGCUGUGUUUACUUGUCCUAAUUGCCAAGACUCUGAAGAGGGGGAUGAAAACAAGAGAAGAUGUGAAGACAGCUUAUGAACUGGAGUAACCCUGGUCACAGGGAUGUAACAGGGGUUUUAGAAGGAGGGAGAGAUGCACUCAGCUCUCUCGCUAGGCUCAUCGGACUGAGAAGAUAUUUUUGGGUCCUUGUGUGAGUAUUUUCCCCUAAUAAACUACCAUUAUAAACC